rnacentral:tRNA from 1 species
GCGAGUUUAGCUCAGUUGGGAGAGCGUCAGACUGAAGAUCUGAAGGCCGGGUGUUCAAUCCACCCAACUCGCA